rnacentral:rRNA from 1 species
UACGAAGGGUGCAACCGUUGCUCGGAAUCAUUGGGCGUAAAGCGCACGUAGGCGGCCUCAAAAGUCGGAUGUGAAAUCCCGUGGCUCAACCAUGGACGUGCAUUCGAAACUGCGAGGCUUGAGUAUGGAAGAGGGUCGCGGAAUUCCCGGUGUAGAGGUGAAAUUCGUAGAUAUCGGGAGGAACACCUAUGGCGAAAGCAGGUUUCUGGGCCAUCACUGACGCUGAUCUGCGAAAGCUAGGGGAGCAAACAGG